AAACGUUCAACUACGUUUUUUUAUGAGAUCGGAGUUGAGCGUUCCGUAGCUCUCUACCCUAGACUAUUUCUGCGUUUUAAAGAUGCACUAUGCAGAAACAGCUCCGCCAUUUCUUGGUUGCUAAAAUUGUAAUAGUUAGCCUCAUUUCAGUUAAUCUGACAAAACAAGCAAGUAUAGUGUAGAGAAUUGUACUUUCUAAACCGCUAUGAAAUAUUUCCCAUGACCAAAAAUAUAGCUGGUGUACAAUAACGUUACCAAAAGUAAAAUAUACAAAAACGAAAUCUAAGGAAUGGAAGCAAUAGAAAUACUGCAUAUAGAACAUAUAUACUGCUUUUUAGACUUGCUUUCAAUGAGAGUGAAAGAUCUGUGACUUUGGUGGACGAUCCACUUACUUAUAGUCUACGUCAGUAUUAGUCGUAAUACAUAUAAAACCUAGCGGUCAAACACAGAAAUGGUUCCAAUCGUUUUUCCACCGUUCGUUUGAGCCAUUGUGGAUUUUAGAAACGCUUCAAUUAAGGGCUGUGUUUUCAUGUAGGUUUACCCUGCCGGUACGUUUUGAUAACUAUGCUAAUUAGCUGCUAAUGCGGAUAUCAUCUAGAACUACAAAUGCCUGUCUCAAGCUUAACGACACUCACCAGGGCCUUGAAGAUCUGGACGAUACUGCCAAAUUGAGGCAAAGAACCAGUGGGUGUGCCUGAGUCUUGCCACCUCUCAACUAGUUGAACUUGUUGACUGAUGCCAUGGCUGUGGCUGCUAAGAGUGCAGCAGCUGCGAACCAGAAGACUGCAGCCCAGGUCCACACCUGCCCUGUCUGUCGGUUGAGUAGUAUUGAUGCAGACCCGAAGACGUUCAAGCAGCACUUUGAGAGCAAGCAUUCCAAGUCUACAGUGUUCCCAGUACUGGUUGAUGUGCAGGCCUAAGGAAGCACAUACACCAGCUGUAGGUCCAUUUGAUUGUAAGAUUCUUCCAUCAUUUACACACAGUAGACAGUGUAAACCACCAUGUUGUCAACAAAAUGCUGUCCUCAAUGCUGAAGUUGUAUGGUCUAUGGCUCAAUAUGUGGAAAUGCUGUGAUCACUCAUUGUCUUUAAUG